UACGAAGGGGGCUAGCGUUGCUCGGAAUCACUGGGCGUAAAGGGUGCGUAGGCGGGUCUUUAAGUCAGGGGUGAAAUCCUGGAGCUCAACUCCAGAACUGCCUUUGAUACUGAGGAUCUUGAGUUCGGGAGAGGUGAGUGGAACUGCGAGUGUAGAGGUGAAAUUCGUAGAUAUUCGGAAGAACACCAGUGGCGAAGGCGGCUCACUGGACUGGUAUUGACGCUGAGGUACGAAAGCGUGGGGAGCAAACAGG
rnacentral:rRNA from 1 species